rnacentral:lncRNA from 1 species
GUACGUCGGUUUUUGCACAAAAGCAUUAAUAUGGUCUAUUAUCACAAUUUGGCUUGCGUUAUAAUUGAAAUUGAGUUAGAGAUUGUGAUAAUUUGAGUCUUUAGUUACUGCUACAAAUUGAUAUUUACUUUGUAAUAUUCUCAUGCGACGUCAACCUAUUAUUUACAUACAUCCAUACAUAUUUAUUUUUUGAGAAAAUAUUGUUUAUGCACAUAUAAAAGAAAAAUCUUAGCAAAGUGGUGUCGCAUGACACCCCUGAUCUCCUCCACUUGUUGAGAUCCAAUUCCAAAAGACUACGAAUCUCUUACAAUUUGAAAAUCAAGUCGGAGACUACCACACAUAUACAUGAAAUACCUCAACAAGUGGUGGACAUGGAAGAGAUUGUUUUGCAAAUGCCAUUCGUUUUCCAAGCUAUAAAUAGGAUAAUUCGACCAUAUCUUGCAACGACUUGAGUUGGCUUUGACGUGUAUAGGCUCAUAUCUCAAAGCUAGGGUAAGUUCAAAACACUCCUUCACUACCAAUAUGGUUGUUCUAAUGAGUGCCAGCAAGAAGAAAGUAUCAAUUGGUUGCCCCAAGUUUUUGGCUACGGAAGCUAAGUUGGGAUCGACUAUAUGUAUCUACAGAGGAUGUGAAGGCGAUGACGAUGACGAUGAUGAUGAUGAUGAUGCUUCAAAGGUGGCACCAGCUGCAUGAUAUUGUAAUAGUAUUUCCUACAACAACACAUAGUAAUACAUAUAGCUAGCUAGGUUCCCAUGUUUCUUUGCUGCAGAUGUUGCUCUAAAGUGAAUUAACAAUGUUGACAUCUAAAAGAGAGAGACAUGUAGUGAAGUGAGUUACGUCUGUAGAGAAGGAAGAGAGCAAUGCAUGAGAGAUAUCUUCUUGUUUUCUACUUACAGUAAUAUAUCUGUGUAUCACUCUAUUAUCCAUGCCAUUAAUAAAUGAUGAUGGAGUACUAAUUGAGGGGUAAACCUCGUAUGUUGUAAUGAUUUCUUUUUAUAUUCUAUAUUUAUAACUAGGCAAUCAUGAAGGAAGCAAUAUUCAAACUUUAGUGGAGGCAUCAGGCAUGCUUCGCUUCGGUAGCUAGGUUUUUUUGAACUUGAUUUUUAAUUAUCAUCUCCUGUUUGUUGAUAAACUGUUCUUCUUAGUGUUUUCAUUUCUUAUAAUUUUCAAUAGGAUUAUGAAGUCAUUUGUAAGAGAUGGUUGUUCAUCGUGUUGGACGAAUCUUAAUAUAUCUGAACCGUAGUACUGAGUUAUUCCUAAAACUCCUAAAAACAUCAAUCUUAAAACAGGAUUGGAAAUAAUAUUGAGUUAUUCCAUUGUACCCAUUGGUACUCAUGCAACCAUGAAUUGAAAAGACUGUACCAAAACUCCUAAAAAACAACCCCCGCUUGAACUGAAGUCUUAUAUAUUUGGAUAAGGAGAAGUCAAGAAGCUCCCUAUCCUUCCCAAAUUCAGUCAAUAAUUACUUGUUCCUCUAACGAUACGAUUGCUUCUAUUCCAUCCACACUUUUACUAUCCAUCAAAACAAAUGAGUUCGGUACAAGUGGCCUCCAAAAUAUGUCAAAUUCAUUAGCAUUGGAUGGCCUAUCAUGAUGCUUAUCGAAAUUCACUAGUGCUGUCAUCAAUUGCUCAUUCUCUUUAACUGGAUCUUUUCCCCGAACCAUGCUUCCAAGAUUCAUGUUUUCUCUAGCAGUUAGUAUUGAAAUGCUAGAUAUUAUGUUUCCAACAGAGUUUUGGGGGAGAGGUAGUGCCAUUCAUCUUUUGUAUAGUUCCACUGCAAAUCUUUUGGGAACGAUAAAUAUUCAGGGCCAGUAUCAGGAUGAUUGACAACUUCCGACAUGGGACUAUCGACUCGAACAUUCAAACAAUUAACUCUCUUGUCAUUAUACUCGAUGAAGGCAUUUUCUCUUAGUCUUCCAGCAAAUUGUUUGUAAGAUGUCAAAGUUCUUGAUAAAUAAGUCUCAAGAACUUGAGAUAUUUGGGCAGCUUCUUUGAAGCUGAAAGCACUACUGCCCUCUAUAUGUUUAGUAUAGAAGNAGGNCNNNNNNNNNNNNNNNNNNNNNNAGAUCAAGCCGCACUUAAAUGAUAAUAAAGGAUCCAUUGAUGAAUAUGUAACGGCGGUCCAUGAAUGCAAAUAUUCUCUGCAACGUCUGCCCAUUUAAUCUUAGAGAAUAUUCUUCAUUGAAUGUUAUUCGAUGGAAAAUAUUUGAUCUUUUCCCGUUGACCAUGCUACCUUCGAGGUUUAUUCGAUGUCAAUUGCAGUUGUUGUUCCAGGUACUGGUUGUUACUUGAUUCGUCUUUUACCUGUCUUUGGUUCCAUGUGUCAUGCUAUCAUUCGAUCAUUUAUUAUAAAUUAAUUUUACCAUAUACAGAUAGUCCCCCUGCUUUCCGGUGACAUAUCUUUGUUUUACCGAGAAGUUGGUGAAGAUCCCUUUCUUGGCGAGAAACAUCUUGAAAAGUCUAUGACGCUUGAAAGGACGCACGCCUUCUCACAUUUAAUACCCUGAACAUGUGUUGCCCCACGAUACAGCAAUAUUUUCACCGAUUUUUGAGGUAAUCAUGAUCACGAUUUUUGUCUUAUAUAUCUUCACUUCUACUCAUUACUUUACUUCCAAAAUUAGUUUUCAUAAACCUUUCUUCUUCUCUGCACUUACUCUGCAUUUGCUUAGAUUGUUUUCCAUCUCCUUCAAUGCCCUAGAAAAAAGUUUUACUGUAUUUUUACUACCAUGGCUUCUUCUACUGCAUCCUCCAGAAACUCUGGCAUCUUAUUCGAUAGAGGCUCGAAGAGAAACAAGGACGUUGAUGUCGAUUUUGAGCCUCCCACUGUAAACACCAUCAUACCAAAAUACCUUAGUAUUGCUAACGACUUCCAAGAGAAGGCUCCAUAUGUGUCCCCACGGACUUGGGCCGUUAGUAGGUACCCCUCCUCUAUUCGCCCUUCCAGUAUUCCUACUGUGAAGGAGGACUGCAACUUUCCAAACCUUAACAUCCUCGCUUCGGAUAUGAUAAAGUGGGUUACCUUCACCAAGGAAGGUUUUACGUAUGUCUAUAUGUAUUAUUUCUCUAGCAGUUAGUGAUGUUUUAUACUUCAAUACCACACAAGAGGGGGGGUAAUUUGUGUGGUGCCUGAUUUUCGCGUGCACUAGAUUAUCAAAGGACCUGGUUCUUCUACGCGCUCCUUACACUACAGUUGCGGAAUAAAUAAUGCAGAAAGUGAAGAACACGAGGAUUUUUACGUGGAAAACACCCGGCUCAAAAAGUAAAAAAACCACGACCUACUACCUAGUAGGAUUUUCUCCAAACACUUCACUACAACUCUGAGCCAGCAUCAAAGUUUACAAACUCUUGCAAACCUAAGGAUUACCUCUAACCCUUGUAGCAACCAGCCACAGGUUGUUGCGACUGCUUCAAGUUAACUCUAACUUGAAUAAUACAAUUAGAGCUUACAACCUCUUGCAAACCUAAGGAUUAACUCUAACCCUUAUAGCAACACGCCACAUGUUGUUGCACCUACUGUAAGUUACCUCUAACUUGAAAGAUAAAACUCAGGUACAUAGUACAAUUUGCUUCAUAGAAUGCUGAAAGGUACAACUCAAAACGGCUACUACACUUUGAACUAGAAAUAAAGAAAGAUACAUAAAACUCUUUAUGGAGCUGGUUCUUCAAUCUGGUCCGUGUAGCUUCAGGAUCGUAUUCUUAAAUCUCACAGGAAUUGCUCACAAAAAGCCUUGCUAUUUUGCUCUCAAUUCGUACUUAACUUCAGUAUGUGUGCAUCACCUGUAAAAUAGAACACAACUGAUAUAUAUAUAUAUAUAUAGAGUUAGUAAAUAAAGAUUAACUAGAAGUCUAAUGCUUUACUCUUCCUUGGUGGAAGACUUCUAGUUAUCUUCAACUUCUAACUCUUUCCUUAUCUUGGAUAGAGUUCUCUUCAAGUAAGGAGUCCUUCUCCUUAUCAAAUAUGCAACCUUUUCGUUCAGGGAUUAUCAUAAAUAACCACUUAUACUUAUCCCUUUUACGUGCAUGCCUUUUGCUUGAUUCUUCCCAUCACAUGUGUACACUGUCCAUGGACCUGGUUUAUGCAUGUGUUCCUUUGUCAAUCAUCAAAACCAAAACUGCUCAGGUCAACAAAUUCCCCCCUUUUGAUAAUGAAAAACUCAGUGCUUUUCAUAAGCAUGAAACCUGCUUCAACUCAGCUCAACAUCAACACAAUGUUAGAAAAUUUUACCUUUUUAAAAUCACUUAUCAUCAAGGACCGGGUUCAUUAGGUUAUAAACAUCACAGUCCAAAGUAAAAGCACAACCUAAUUCCCCCUUUUGGCAUCAUCAAAAAGUUGCAUAAUAAAAUUAAGUAAAUGUAUUUUAGUAGAUAUCACUCAUGGCCACUGGGGCUACUUCAAAUGCAAUCAUGGAUUCAAUUUUCUAUUUAUCAAUCUAAGGAUAUUAUCCAUCUAAGAAAUAUCAACAAAGAAUUAGAGCAAAAGCAGUGAAUUUUAUUGAUUGAUAAGAUCCUACCACAAAGCAUAAGAAGAAACAAAAACAUAGAACCAUGAACAAAAGAUAAAGAAAUCUCACUUGGGUCACUGGUUACAACUGGGCUAGGAAAAAUUUAGUGACUGGGAAGGACCUAGUUCUUGGUUCUUGGCUUGAAGCAGUUUCAACAUAUCUUGAAGAAUACCAUCAUUCUUCUCCUUUUACUUUGCAAGCUCACACUUGAGAUAGUCUCUCUCAGCCUCUACUUCAGCUAACCUAGUCUUCAAUCGUUAAAUCUCAACAUCCUUAACCAUUUUCUUCCACUAUUUGAGCCUUCUUUCUCUUUUUAGCAGACCUAGUUCUUUUAGACACAAUUGAGCCCUCAACCUCAACCUCUGUUUCUCGAGAAUUCUAUUGAGAAGUCUCUCUUUUUGGCACUAGGUGUAGGUAUUUCCACAUCCUCAUAUUCAUCUUCAAGAACCAGGUUCAUCUCCUCAAUCUGGACUACUCCACUUGGCUUACCAGCCCUUAGUGCCACCCAUGCCCUUUACUGCAGUCUUGAACCAGGUAUUUCCACUCUUUCUCUUAGUGCCACCCAUGCCUUUUCCUGCAGUAUUUCCAAUUUCGUUCUUCUUCUUUUUGAUUGUAACUAUCUAUACCUUUUGCAAUAGAUCAGGACUCUUGUCUAUUUUAGCAAGAGAAGGAACUAGUUCAUGAAACCGUUUCCUUAACCUAACCAGCCCAUCUGGAGCACUUCUAUCACCAGAACCAUCACCUAUCUCCUGUGAUUCUAUCCCCGUACUGUCAUUCAUAGUCUCCUCAUUAUCACUAAUCUCAUCACUUAAUACAAUUAUUGCUCCAGCUUCUUCAGUCAAACCAACAAGAGUGGGUGAAGGAGAUAUGGCCACUCUUUCUUCUCAUUUUCCCCUCACAUCUACUUCAACACCCUCACUCUUUUUUUCUUUUUCAUUUUUACCACCAAUUUUUACAGACCCACCAGUUUCUACACCAGCAAUCGAACCAACCAACACAAACUUAUUUUCGAGACUCUCAGCAAUUUCAGAAGCAAUAUCAAAAGUUUUUAACCUAGAGGUUACCUGUUCAGUUUCAGAUGAAACUGGUUAUUCCUUCUCAGUCAUAGACAUGAAGGACUCAUCAGAUUGUUAGGGUUCUUCUGCUUGACUAGCUUGUAGCACCUCACUUAAUUUCUUAGCUUAUUUUCUACUUGCCACGGUGUUGCGUGCAAUCAUUUUGAUAUGAUUUUUCUUGGGGGUUUGGGUGGUUGAAAGUGUGGAUGAAGGUUCUUUGGAUGGUGAGGAAGGCAUUUCAUAGUUUUUGGGAUUCUCAUGAGUGUUUUCCAUUUGAUCAGUUCAGAAACUUGAGAGAAAUAGAGAGAGUUUUGAGGUUUUGGAGAUUUUAAUCUUUCAAAACAAAUUUGAGAUAAGAAGGUAAGGUCAAAUCAAUUUAAAGAGGGAAAGCUUGAGUGUAUAACAACACCUUUUUAAAGUCUAGAAGUCUAAUCACAUUGGAAGUUUCAGUUCAUGAUCCAUAUGAAGUUAUUUCAAAUUAUACGGAGAGUAUAAUACAUACCUUAUAAUCUCGAUGAACCAGGUUCUUCACUGAAAGUUCUCUUGUAUAAGACUUAUUUUUUCCAUGAAAAUAAGGAUAAUAUCAUUAGACAUCAGUGAGACAUUUUAGCACAUGGCACAAGAGUAUACUAAUAAAAGCAUGAGACUGAACAAUAUCUAAUCUAAUUAUUCACAAAAUCCACAAAUUAUCUAACCAGUCAUUGAGUUAGAAUCGAUUUCUUUUAGGUGAUCUUAAUCAUCUCUAAUUCUAACAUGUUCCUUUCAAAGUGAUCCCUACUAAAAGCUUUUGUGAAGAUGUCAGCAAUUUCCUUAUCAGUAGCAUAAAAUUCCACAGUGAUCAACACCUCUCAAAAUUAUCCCUAUGAAAAAGAUGCCCAACAUCUAUAUGCUUAGUUCUUUUGUGAUGGACUGGUUCUGGUCAUACUAGUUGCACUAGUGUUAUCACAAAAAACGGGGAUACAACCUUUGAAUAUCAUAGACAGAGGUUAGUGGUGCCUUUUUGGUAUCUCAAUAUCCUCUUGACAGCAGUCAAGUGCGACUCCUUGGGAUUUGCCUGAAAUCUAGCACAAAGUCCUACACUGAAAACAAUGUCAUGUCUGCUAGCAGUAAGAUAUAACAAGGAGCCAAUCAUUCCCCUAUACAACUUCUGAUCAACAGAUGAACCAGGUUCAUCCACAUCCAAUUUUGUGGCUGUUGCUAUAGGAGUGUCAAUUUCUUUGGAAUCUUCAAUUUUAAACUUUUUAAAGCAACUCUUUCGCAUACUUCUGCUGAUGGACCAUAAUUAUAUUUGAAUUUUGUUUAAUUUGUAAGCCUAAAAAGAAAUUAAGCUCACCCAUCAUACUAAUUUCAAAUUCACUCCCCGUUACUUUAGAAAACUCCUUACUUAACUUAUUAAUAGUUAGUCCAAAGAUUAUAUCAUCAAUAUAUAUCUGGACUACCAAGAGAUCUUUACCUUUUUCUUUCAUGAACAAAGUAUUGUCAAUUUUACCUCUCUUGUAUCCAUGCGCAAGCAGAAAUAUUGAUAAUCUUUCAUACCAUGCUCUUGGAACCUGCUUGAGCCCAUAAAGUGCCUUCUCAAGCUUGCACACAUGAUCAGGACAUUUCUUGCUUUCAAAGUCCAGGGGUUGCUUGACAAACACUUCUUCCUUUAGAUAGCUAUUGAGUAAGGCACUCUUGACAUCCAUCAGAUGGAGAGUGAAUUUCAUAUAAUCAGCAAAGGUUUCAUCAUAGUCUAUGCCCUCCUCUUGACUAUAUCCUUGAACCACCAAUCUUGCCUUGUUCCUUAUAACUGUUCCAUCUUCAUCAAGUUUGUUUCUGAAGACCCAUUUUGUGCCAAUUACUGAUUUGUCCUUGGUUCUUGGUACGAAAUGCCAAACAUGACUUCUCUCAGAUUGGUUGAGUUCAUCUUGUAUUGCAUUCACCCAGUAUGCAUCCUGCAAAGCUUCAGGAAUAUUUUUAGGUUCAAUAAGAGAUAGAAAAGCAUCAAAAGUACAAAGAUUCUUCAACGAAGAUCUGGUUUUGAUUCCAGAGGUUAGAUCAGUAAUUAUGUUCUCAAUGGGAUGAGAACUUUGAUACUUGUAAGGUUUCACAACCAAAUGGUUUCCCCUGGAUGUUCCUUCAAUGUUUUGUUGCUGAGGAACAGAUUCCCUCGAGAUUUGAGGAUCACUCCCUCUUUGUUAGUUCCUCCUGUCAAGUUGCCCUGGGUGGAAGGACCUGUUCCAUCACUUGUUCCUACAUCUGGUGUAGCUUCAGUCUAGGCUGUGGUUUCAUUUGAGUUUCUCACCAGCCCAGUUACUUCAUUAUCAUGUUCCUGCCUCUCAGAAAGAAUGUUAGUUUCAUCAAAAAUCACAUGUUAUAAAUUGUAUAAGCUUUAAUAUGUGAAGAAUAUCCCAAGAAUACUCCCUCAUCACUUAUGGGGAUCAAGCUUUAAGUAACUCAUAGGGAGUCUUCUCUACAAGAGGUCUAGUCAAGCACCUAUUUAGGAUAUAGCAUGCAGUGUUUACAGCUUCUGCCCAGAAGUUGUGGGGCAAUUUACUAGAAAGAAGCAUAAUCCUAGCCAUAUCUUCAAGAGUCCUAUUCAUUCUUUCAACUACUCAAUUUUGUUGUGGAGUCGUAGGAGCAGAGAAAUUAUGAUCUAUGCCAUGCUCAUCACAAAAUUAAGUAAAAUUAGCAUUCCCAAAUUCAGUAUCAUGAUCAAACCGUAUUGAUGCAAGCUGAUUACCUAGUUAUUUUUGAGUUUUUCUAACAAAAGAAGUGAACAUGUCAAAUGCUUCAUCUUUAGAUGUUAAAAAUAGUGUCCAAGUAAACCUAGAGUAAUCAUUAAUAAGUACCAUAACGUAUCUCUUACCAUCUCUGCUCAUUGUCCUCAUUGGUCCAUACAUAUCCAUAUGGACCAGUUCCAUCGACCUAGUAGUACUUACCAUUUUCUUACUUUUGAAAGAAGAUCUUACCUGCUUCCCUCUUCCACAAGCGUCACAAACUAUAUCUUCCUUGGACUUAAUGUUAGGAAGUCCUAUCACCAAGUCCUUGGAGACUAGUUUGUUGAGUUGACUUAGACUAGCAUGUCCAAGUCUCUUAUGCCAAAGGAGGGGAUCACUAUCCAACACACUUAAGCAAGUGGGUUCAUUUCCUAAAAGUGUGGACAGAUCUACAACAUAUAUGUUGUUCACUCUUUUUACCUGCAAAACUAUCUUGUCAGUCGUAAGAUUAAUCACAAAGCAUUUGGUAGAUGUGAAUGUUACCAUGUUACCUUUAUCAUACAAUUGUGAUACACUUAUUAGACUGUGCUUCAGUCCAUCUAUCAAGUCAGUCUUACCUACCUUUCCAACCCCAAUGAUCUUACCUUUUUCCCAUUUCCAUAGGAGAUAUUACCUCAUUUAAGGUCCUUAAGUGAAAGGAACUGGUUCUUGCUUUCUGUCAUAUGCUUUGAGCAGCCACUCUCCAUGUACUAUAUUUGGCAGCUCCCCUUCACUUGGACCUACAAAAAGAAAUCAGGGGUUAGUCUUAGGAACCCAAACUAGUUUGGUCCCUUUCUAUAGUCAAAAGGAUGAAUCAAAUUCCUUUUAGCCCAACUUGGCAGCCUAUUUUUCCCUAGAACAAAUUUUUUGUUCUUUUCAUCUGCCUUUUCUUUCGCAGUUCAAUCACUCUUGUAGUGACCAAUAUUUCCACAGUGUGUGCAAAUCUUAUUCUCAGGGAGUGUUAGGUACCUAUUUUUGGGAUCCCAUUCAGUUUCAAAGUUCCCAAAGCUAAGUCUGUUUUUGUUUCUACUAUGGUGUUCUUGUAGCCAUGAAAGUGCAUUGGAGGACCUUUUCCAUUUACAUGUUCUAUCAAGCUCAUGUUUAACCUUUGUUAAGUCCUCUUUCAAAACUCUUACAUUUUCUUCCUUUUUGUAUAGCUCAUCUUUAACCUUCCUUAAGUCAUCCUCUAGGUUGAGUUGUAUAUCACUUGCUAUCUCUUUUCCUAUCCCUAACUUUAACUUUAUAUUUUCAGAUCUAAGUUCUAAGACAGUUGUAUCAAGUUCAUGAACCUGGUUCUUCAAAGCAGUAUUUUCCUUUUCAGUUUUACAAACGUUUAUUUCCAGGUUUUUGCAUUCUCCUUUUAAAAAGUUGCACUCUUUUGACAACUGUUCUUUUUCAGAACUUAUAUUCUUAGAUUUAUCAAUUAAAGUUAGAAACAAUUCUGAUAGUCUAUCUUUAGAAAGGAGUUUAAUUUUAUCCUUAAAUUCCAGAAAACUUAUCUCAGAUUCUUCAUCAGGUUCAUCUUCAGAUUCUCGAAUUUCUAUGAGAGUUCGUUCAGCAUUAUCAUUAGUGUCCUCAUCUGAACUAUCUUUCCAAGUAGCAACCGCUGCUUUGGAUGACCUUUUGUUGUAGUUCUUCUUGUCAUGAACUUGUUCCUUCUUUCUGUUCCUUCUUUCAAAUUUCUCCUUCUUCUAGUUGACAUCCCACGUAGGACAGUUCUUGAUCAUGUGGUUCUUUUUUCCACAUUUGAAGCACCCAUCAGUCAUCUGCAAGUGAUCUUUUCUCUUCUCCUUCCACAAAGAAUAGUAGUGAUCAUUGAAUAGUGGUGGCCUAGUGGUGGAUUACUCUUUACAGUUUCCAGGUAGUGCACUCAUCUUGAUAUUUUCCUAAGGUAUUAGCCUCUUCAAGGAUAACCCGCUCUAAUACCAAUUAAUGUCUUAUACUUCAAUACCACACAAGAUGGGGGGUGAUUUGUGUGGUUCCUGAUUUCUGCGUGCACUGGAUUAUCGAAGGACCUGGUUCUUCUAUGUGUUCCUUACACUACAGUUACGGAAUAAAUAAUGCAGAAAGUAAAUAAUACAAUGAUAUUUACGUGGAAAACACCCGGCUCAAAAGGUGAAAAAACCACGACCUACCACCCAAUAGGAUUUUCUCCAAACACUUCACAACAACUCUGAGCCAGCAUCAAAGUUUACAAACUCUUGCAAACCUAAGGAUUACCUCUAACCCUUGUAGCAACCAGCCACAGGUUGUUGCGACUGCUUCAAGUUAACUCUAACUUGAAUAAUACAAUUAGAGCUUACAACCUCUUGCAAACCUAAGGAUUAACUCUAACCCUUAUAGCAACACGCCACAUGUUGUUGCACCUACUGUAAGUUACCUCUAACUUGAAAGAUAAAACUCAGGUACAUAGUACAAUUUGCUUCAUAGAAUGCUGAAAGGUACAACUCAAAACGGCUACUACACUUUGAACUAGAAAUAAAGAAAGAUACAUAAAACUCUUUAUGGAGCUGGUUCUUCAAUCUGGUCCGUGUAGCUUCAGGAUCGUAUUCUUAAAUCUCACAGGAAUUGCUCACAAAAAGCCUUGCUAUUUUGCUCUCAAUUCGUGCUUAACUUCAGUAUGUGUACAUCACCUAUAAAAGAGAACAUAACUGAUAUAUAUAGAGUUAGUAAAUAAAGAUUAACUAGAAGUCUAAUUCUUUACUCUUCCUUGGUGGAAGAGUUCUAGUUAUCUUCAACUUCUAACUCUUUUCUUAUCUUGGAUAGAGUUCUCUUCAAGUAAGGAGUCUUGCUCCAUAUCAAAUAUGCAACCUUUUCGUUCAGGGAUUAUCAAAAAUAACCACUUAUAAUUAUCCCUUUCACGUGCAUGCCUUUUGCUUGAUUCUGCCUGUCAUCUUUUGUAUAGUUCUACUGCAAAUGUUUUGGAAAUGAUAAAUAUUCAGGGCCAGUAUCAAGAAGAUUGACAACUUUCAACAUGGGACAAUCAACUCAAACAUUCAAACAAUUAACUCCCUUGUCAUUAGACUCAAUGAAGGCAUUUUCUCUUAGUCUUCAAGCAAAUGUUUUGUAAGAGGUCAAAGUUCUUGAUAAAGAAGUCUCAAGAACAUGAUAUAUUUGGGCAGCUUCUUUGAAGCUGGAAGCACUACUACCCUCUAUAUGGUUAGGAUAGAAGAAGGUCAAAGGCAUAUUACCAAUGACAUCAUCAAGUUAAGAGAGCAUAAAAUUUCACAGAAAUAAGUCUUGAGGCAACCAUCAGUAUCUCAGAAUUGAAAUGUGGAUAGAUUUCUGCGUGAAUUUGCUCAUGAAUUUAUUCAUUCGAAUUUGAGAAUAUAUAUAUAUAUAUAUAUAUAUAUAUAUAUUAUUUACCCAUAAAACAGUACAAUUAAAUUUGGUACGUAGUUUAUAGAUAAGCGAACUGAUUUGAUCCCAAAUUUGAUAAUGAAAUAUGAGUAAAAGUAAGACUUAGCAUUUGUGAUUGAAGAAGGUGACAAGCCUGACUCUGAGAGCAGUGUCUCCGAGGACAGAAAUGAGAACAAUGUAAAAGAGCAAAUAAAGUUUUUUGAUUGAGAGCGAAAAUGAAAUACAACAUACAUUUUACGAAGAAUUUCCUGUCUUCCAAUGGCGGUUGAGCCUGCUAUGUAUAGCUUUACUUAGGGAAACAAGAUCCUAGGAUCAAGUCCCAUUUAAAUGAUAAUAAAGGAUCCAUUAAUGAAUAUGUAACGACGGUCCAUGAUUGAAAAUAUUCUCUAUAAUGUCUGCCCAUUUAAUCUUAGAGAAUAUUCUUCAUUGAAUGUUAUUCGAUGGCAAAUAUUAGAUCUAUUCCCGUUGACCAUGCUCCCUUCAUGGUUUAUCCGAUGUCAAUUGCAGUAGUUGUUCCUGGUACUGGUUGUUACUUGAUUUGUCUUUUACCUGUCUUCGAUUCCACGUGUCAUGCUAUCAUUCGAUCAUUUAUUAUGAACUAAUUUUACUAUGUACAGAUAGUCCCCCUGCUUUCUGUUGACAUAUCUUUAUUUCACCGAGAAGUUGGUGAAGAUCUCUUUCUUGGCGAGAAACCUCCUUAAAAGUCUAUGACUCUUGAAAGGAUGCACGCCUUCUCACAUUUAAUACCCUGAACACAUGUUCCCCACGAUUCAGUAAUAUUUUCACCGAUUUUUGAGGUAAUCAUGAUCACUAUUUUUGUCUUAUAUAUCUUCACUUCUACUUAU